rnacentral:rRNA from 1 species
AGUCGAACGAUGAAGCAGAGCUUGCUCUGUGGAUUAGUGGCGAACGGGUGAGUAACACGUGAGUAACCUGCCCUUGACUCUGGAAUAAGCGUUGGAAACGACGUCUAAUACUGGAUACGAGCUUCAGCCGCAUGGCUAGGAGCUGGAAAGAAUUUCGGUCAAGGAUGGACUCGCGGCCUAUCAGGUAGUUGGUGAGGUAAUGGCUCACCAAGCCUACGACGGGUAGCCGGCCUGAGAGGGUGACCGGCCACACUGGAACUGAGACACGGUCCAGACUCCUACGGGAGGCAGCAGUGGGGAAUAUUGCACAAUGGGCGAAAGCCUGAUGCAGCAACGCCGCGUGAGGGACGACGGCCUUCGGGUUGUAAACCUCUUUUAGUAGGGAAGAAGCGAUGUGCUUGUCACAUCAUGACGGUACCUGCAGAAAAAGCACCGGCUAACUACGUGCCAGCAGCCGCGGUAAUACGUAGGGUGCAAGCGUUAUCCGGAAUUAUUGGGCGUAAAGAGCUCGUAGGCGGUUUGUCGCGUCUGCUGUGAAAACCGGAGGCUCAACCUCCGGCCUGCAGUGGGUACGGGCAGACUAGAGUGCGGUAGGGGAGAUUGGAAUUCCUGGUGUAGCGGUGGAAUGCGCAGAUAUCAGGAGGAACACCGAUGGCGAAGGCAGAUCUCUGGGCCGUAACUGACGCUGAGGAGCGAAAGCAUGGGGAGCGAACAGGAUUAGAUACCCUGGUAGUCCAUGCCGUAAACGUUGGGAACUAGAUGUAGGGACCAUUCCACGGUUUCUGUGUCGCAGCUAACGCAUUAAGUUCCCCGCCUGGGGAGUACGGCCGCAAGGCUAAAACUCAAAGGAAUUGACGGGGGCCCGCACAAGCGGCGGAGCAUGCGGAUUAAUUCGAUGCAACGCGAAGAACCUUACCAAGACUUGACAUAUACGAGAACGGGCUAGAAAUAGUUCACUCUUUGGACACUCGUAAACAGGUGGUGCAUGGUUGUCGUCAGCUCGUGUCGUGAGAUGUUGGGGUAAGUCCCGCAACGAGCGCAACCCUCGUUCUUUGUUGCCAGCACGUAAUGGUGGGAACUCAAAGGAGACUGCCGGGGUCAACUCGGAGGAAGGUGGGGAUGACGUCAAAUCAUCAUGUCCCCUUAUGUCUUGGGCUUCACGCAUGCUACA